UACGUAGGGGGCAAGCGUUGUCCGGAUUUACUGGGCGUAAAGAGCGCGCAGGCGGUCGUACAAGUCGCGUGUGAAAGCCCCCGGCUCAACUGGGGAGGGUCACGCGAUACUGUUCGACUCGAAGGCAGGAGAGGGAAGCGGAAUUCCCGGUGUAGUGGUGAAAUGCGUAGAUAUCGGGAGGAACACCAGUGGCGAAGGCGGCUUCCUGGCCUGUUCUUGACGCUGAGGCGCGAAAGCUAGGGUAGCAAACGGG
rnacentral:rRNA from 1 species